GACGAAGGAUGCAAGCGUUAUCCGGAUUCAUUGGGUUUAAAGGGAGCGUAGGUGGCCUUAUAAGUCAGUGGUGAAAUCUCUCGGCUUAACCGAGAAAAUUGCCAUUGAUACUGUAGGGCUUGAGUAUAGUUGCCGUUGGCGGAAUAUGACAUGUAGUGGUGAAAUACAUAGAGAUGUCAUAGAACACCGAUUGCGAAGGCAGCUAACGAAACUAUAACUGACACUGAGGCUCGAAAGUGCGGGGAUCAAACAGG
rnacentral:rRNA from 1 species